rnacentral:rRNA from 1 species
AACGAACGCUGGCGGCGCGCCUAACACAUGCAAGUCGAACGAGAAGCUGUAGCAAUACAGUUGUACAGUGGCGAACGGGUGAGGAAUACAUGGGUGACCUACCCUCGAGUGGGGAAUAACCAGCCGAAAGGUUGGCUAAUACCGCGUACGUUUCCCAGUCCGCGGAUUGGGAAGGAAAGCGAUGCCGUGGGUAUCGCGCUCAAGGUUGGGCUCAUGUCCUAUCAGCUUGUUGGNGAGGUAACGGCUCACCAAGGCAACGACGGGUAGCUGGUCUGAGAGGACGAUCAGCCACACUGGCACUGCGACACGGGCCAGACUCCUACGGGAGGCAGCAGUGAGGAAUAUUGCGCAAUGGGCGAAAGCCUGACGCAGCGACGCCGCGUGA